rnacentral:rRNA from 1 species
AGCGAACGCUGGCGGCGUGCUUAACACAUGCAAGUCGAGCGAGAAAGGGGGCUUCGGCCCCUGAGUACAGCGGCGAACGGGUGCGUAAUACAUGAGCAAUCUACCCUUGAGGCGGGAAUAACCCAGCGAAAGUUGGGCUAAUACCGGAUAAGACCACAAGAGGAGACCCUUGAGGCUAAAGGCAGCUCUCGUUUUGGGGGCGGCCCUUUGAGGAGGAGCUCAUGUCCUAUCAGCUAGUUGGUAGGGUAACGGCCUACCAAGGCGAAGACGGGUAGCUGGUCUUAGAGGAUGAUCAGCCACACGGGGACUGGAGACACGGCCCCGACUCCUACGGGAGGCAGCAGUGGGGAAUAGUUGGGCAAGUGGGGGAAACCCUGACCCAGCGACGCCGC